UCCCUUCAGUUCAAUGAAUCAGUAAACUUGAAGCGAUCCCAUUCUAAGCUUUUAAGGGAGGGAGAGAAGAAACUAUGAAGAGCAUCGCCUUACUCUUUGCGCUCACUUUGCUUCUGGCUUCCUCCACGGAGGUAGCACUUUCCGCUCGGAUGCCUCUUGCAAACUAUGACCCCCAAGAGAAAUAUAAGCAACCCACCGUGAAGUGCAAGCCACACGAGGAAUGCUGCGUUUUUGGGAGCUCUCCGAUAACUGAUUGCCGUAUGUGCUCUCGUUUAUGUCCAUGAGAUUUGAUUAUAGUCAAGAAGCAGCGUGAGCCCUUUUGUUGGGCUUUGAAUAAUUGUAUGUUUACCUGUGUGUGUGAUGUUUGUAACAUUGCUUAGUAUGAAAUAAAAAGGGGCCUUUCGAUGCAUAUUAUGUGGAAAAGGAUUUGGGUUAUCUCCACUCCUCCAUAUAUAAUAGGCAGAAAAGGAGAACAAUUCUCGAGUUACAAGUA